GUUCUGGUAGCUUAAAUUAACCUAAAGCCUUGGCUUUGUAAACCAAAGAUGAGAAAUAUCCUCCCAGAACA
rnacentral:tRNA from 1 species